GACGAACGCUGGCGGCGUGGAUUAGGCAUGCAAGUCGGACGGUAGGGCUUUAUCGUAAGAUAGAGUUUGAGAGUGGCGAACGGGUGAGUAACACGUAGGAAUCUACCCUUAAGACGGGGACAACCCAGGGAAACUUGGGCUAAUACCGGAUGAGAGUGCGAGAGAUUGCAUUUAAAAGGAUGGCGAAAGUUGUCGCUUAGGGAUGAGCCUGCGGUCUAUUAGUUAGUUGGUGAGGUAAGAGCUCACCAAGGCGAUGAUAGAUAGGCGGCCUUAACGGGUGGUCGCCCACACUGGGAUUGAGAUACGGCCCAGACUCCUACGGGAGGCAGCAGUCGAGAAUAGUCUACAAUGGCCGGAAGGCUGAUAGUGCGACGCCGCGUGAACGAGGGAGCCCUUCGGGGUGUAAAGUUCUUUUCCAGGGUAGAGAAACUUACGCACGUGUUGCGUGACUGACGGUACCCUGGGAAUAAGCAUCGGCUAACUCCGUG
rnacentral:rRNA from 1 species